GUCUCAAUCCCCUGUAGCUAAUCGGGUCUUCCUACCA
rfam:Chlorobium phaeobacteroides BS1, complete genome.